AAAUAAUCCACCAAAAAGAAAUGGAAGAGGAGGAAGAGAAGCAGGAAUAAGACAAAAGGAUUCCUAGAUAGUACCAGUGCCUAACUACAAGUCAGCUCUUUUUGAAUAUGACUCACUGGAAAAUAAGCAGAACCUUCAGAAGGAAAACAAAAUAAAAGAGUAAAUGCAGACAAUGAAGGAAGCAUGUGAAUCCCAAAGAUUUGCUAAAGGAAUCAGAAGAAGGAGGGGUAGAUAUUAGAAGAUUCCACAUAAAGGUGCAGUCAUUUGGUAUUCAUCUUUCUUUGUCUGUGAAAUUUUUAUUCUUGAUGAAACAACCCCUCCAGAGAAGUCAUAUUGACAGCAUCUGCUUUUUAAUGAGUAAGUCCUGUUGAUCC
rnacentral:lncRNA from 1 species